AUUGAACGCUGGCGGCAGGCCUAACACAUGCAAGUCGAGCGGAUGAAGGGAGCUUGCUCCUGGAUUCAGCGGCGGACGGGUGAGUAAUGCCUAGGAAUCUGCCUGGUAGUGGGGGAUAACGUCCGGAAACGGGCGCUAAUACCGCAUACGUCCUGAGGGAGAAAGUGGGGGAUCUUCGGACCUCACGCUAUCAGAUGAGCCUAGGUCGGGUUAGCUAGUUGGUGGGGUAAAGGCCUACCAAGGCGACGAUCCGUAACUGGUCUGAGAGGAUGAUCAGUCACACUGGAACUGAGACACGGUCCAGACUCCUACGGGAGGCAGCAGUGGGGAAUAUUGGACAAUGGGCGAAAGCCUGAUCCAGCCAUGCCGCGUGUGUGAAGAAGGUCUUCGGAUUGUAAAGCACUUUAAGUUGGGAGGAAGGGCAGUAAGUUAAUACCUUGCUGUUUUGACGGUACCAACAGAAUAAGCACCGGCUAACUUCGUG
rnacentral:rRNA from 1 species